rnacentral:lncRNA from 1 species
GUCACAGCAACAGGGUGUGAACCACUGGUCUAGUGGAAAAGACCCCAAAGAAAAGCAGCCAGUUUGUCUUUUGAUUGAACAUCUUGGCAGGCUCAUCCUUGCCAGAGGCUAGAGAUGUCAAAGGUAUUCUGUAGGCUCUGAUCUGGCUUUUAAGCAACUCUAAGGUUACCCUUAAAGAGGGAAUGUAUUAUGGUAAUGAGUAUCAGUGAAAGUGUGCUGAGAGAAAAAGUCCUGCUCAAUAGAAUACAAUCUCUCAUCUCGUAGUCACUUAACAUUCCAGUUCGGUUAGGUUAACUAUCUGGCUAAGGGACAUCCCUCAAUCUCUCAGGAAGGCAGGAUCACGUUAAGGCAAGCUGAAGAGAGAACUAGAUUAAUUCAUUCUUUGAGUUAGGGGCUUGCCAAGAGACUCAUUGAAACCACUGUCACCGAAGAAUCUUGUCACUUACUGUUACUCGAGACUUCAGGAAGUCAGCAUGUGCUAGCUGAGUUUGAAGGGACGUGAGGAAGGAUUGGUCACUGGUUAAGCUCAAAGACAAGCCUUGCCAUCCUGGCCUGGCCUGCCUGCCAUCCUCCUGGCCUGUCACCCUCAGACAUGGAUGCAGUUCAAAUCCCAAGUGAUUUCAAUGGAGGUUAGAGGAUUCUUCAGCUAAGCCUGCAGCAGAGUCCCACCUUUCUGGAGGAUUCCAUUGUGUGAAGGAACCACAGUCUGUUUAUCUUUUCAACUACUCCAAGAUACCCGGGAACCUGGGAGACGGCUGAGUGGGUAAGGACACAGGAGGACCUGAGUUCAGAUAGCCCUGCAACCCCACCCGAUGAGUCUGGCCCCCCAGUACAGUGGAUUUUCUGGCUGAUGAGCCUCACUCUAAGAAUUUUUUUUUUCUACCUUAGACAAAAUUUAUUGGGAUUAAGGAAAUUGUAUUGAGUCCCUGGAGCACUACAGGAAGUGCUGACACCAAUCCUGGAGCACUACAGCUGGCCAGUGGAGCACCCUAGUCAGUGAUGAUGUCACCCUGUUGAGCACUCUAGGCAGUGAUGAUGUCAGUCCGUGGAGCACUCCCAGCAAUACUGACAUCUUAACAAUAUUAAAUGUACUAAUCUAUGAACAAAAU